rnacentral:tRNA from 1 species
GGUUCCAUGGCCGAGAGGUUAGGCAACGGUCUGCAAAACCGUGCACAGCAGUUCGAAUCUGCUUGGGACCU